UUGGACUCACCCAGUGAUAGGAAAUUAAAUAAAUUUGGGGGGAAACUAUGCUGUGGACAGCUCUGAGAGCUGCAAAGUUCUUGUUUAAAACAUUCAUCUCUUCACUCAUUUUUUAUAACUGAAAAAUUUGGACCAGCAAAGAACAUCAGAAUCCAUCCCUGCCAUCAGGGAGCUGACCUAGGAGGAGACAGAUGUCAAACAAGCAUGGAGAACUCUGGACGUGUGAGCAAUGUGAUGGGUGCUACAAGAGUGCCCAAGGACUCUGGGAGCGAAGUGAGCCAGCCUGGAGGAGCGAGGGAGGAGCCCACACCGCCGGGAGAGCGCCUCCCGCUGCCAACAGCUGCGUGACUUUUCAGAGGACACACUGUGCCCUAAGCGAUGGAGCCCCGCGGUGAGCGGGGAAAGCAGAGGCUGGAAGGCUACACAGGGAAUUCUCUCACAUCUCCACCCUGUGUGUUCACGCACUCUCUGGAAGUCUACUACACGGCACCUUUUCCCUUACCUUUUUGAAAACUAUAUAUAUAUUUUUUUAAUUUUA